rnacentral:rRNA from 1 species
CGAGCGGAGCACUUCGGUGCUUAGCGGCGGACGGGUGAGUAACACGUAGGCAACCUGCCUAUAAGACUGGGAUAACUAUCGGAAACGAUAGCUAAGACCGGAUAACUGGUUUUCUCGCAUGAGAGAAUCAUGAAACACGGAGCAAUCUGUGGCUUAUAGAUGGGCCUGCGGCGCAUUAGCUAGUUGGUAGGGUAACGGCCUACCAAGGCGACGAUGCGUAGCCGACCUGAGAGGGUGAACGGCCACACUGGGACUGAGACACGGCCCAGACUCCUACGGGAGGCAGCAGUAGGGAAUCUUCCGCAAUGGACGCAAGUCUGACGGAGCAACGCCGCGUGAGUGAUGAAGGUUUUCGGAUCGUAAAGCUCUGUUGCCCUAGACGAAUAGCAAGGUGAGUAACUGCACUUUGUGUGACGGUAUAGGAGAAGAAAGCCCCGGCUAACUACGUGCCAGCAGCCGCGGUAAUACGUAGGGGGCAAGCGUUGUCCGGAAUUAUUGGGCGUAAAGCGCGCGCAGGCGGUUAAUUAAGUUGGGUGUUUAAGCCCGGGGCUCAACCCCGGUUCGCAUCCAAAACUGGUUGACUUGAGUGUAGGAGAGGAAAGUGGAAUUCCACGUGUAGCGGUGAAAUGCGUAGAGAUGUGGAGGAACACCAGUGGCGAAGGCGACUUUCUGGCCUAUAACUGACGCUGAGGCGCGAAAGCGUGGGGAGCAAACAGGAUUAGAUACCCUG